UAGAUAUCGGGACUCUUCUCAGUAAAAUCUGAUUUCUAAAUCGGUGGUAGAGUCUUAACUUUCAUAUUAUUAUAAAGAAUCAUAAGAGCCACAAGUUGGCCUAAACGAAAUAUGUAUUAUAUUUGAAUUGAGGUCUGCAUCCGUACGUAGUCGAAAUUCCUCGAACACGUACGAAGCGAUUUGCUGCCUCGUUUCUAAACCGAACAUCAUCAGUCAGGCAUCAGUUUUCUCUCCCACUUUUAAUAUGGGUACCUUUAAGUCAAGAGUGAAUAGGCAACUUCUAGGCAAGCGCGCUCCUUUUAGGCUGCAUCAUCACUUGCUAGCAGGUCUGAUUGCAGCCAAGCGCUAGUUAGUACCUAUAUAUAGUUUAGCUAUAUAAUUAAAAAAAUAUCGAAUCUUGGCCACCAGCUACAAAAUAUCUUGCUCAAUUAAAAAAUUAACUGUUUUUAUUUUUAAAGAAAAUCAACACGAAUUUAAAUUUACGAAAGAAGGCAAUCUUCCUAAUUAUAAAAAAAAUAUGUAUUAGUAUUUCAUUAAAAAAAUGAUAUUAAAUUAAUUUACGCUAGCGCGAAGCAGUUUUUUUUUUUGAGUACACAAUACACAUACAUAAUAGCUAUUUAGAAAACCGUAUCAGACGAAAAUCUGUGUUCGAAAUUAGGAAUAUAUUGAAUUUCUCUUUGUACUUAUUGGUUGAAGGUGUAUCUAUAUAGUAUUCUUACGUCAAUGAUUUACAAUUGUGUAUUUUUAUAGGUAACAGUUUUCGAGCUUUUUAAGUUUUUAUCAACCCAGUAAAAUGCUUUGUAUGAAUAAAAUGAACAAAGCUUUUUAAAAAUCCAAUAUGAGAAAUAUAGCUAAAAACUGAAUCACAAUUUUGCAUACAGUUUGAUAGUAAGUAGGCAUUUAUGAAUUACACGAAUAUUCAUUCAUAUAACGAUGUAUUAUUUUGAGCUUCAUAUGCAUGGAAAAAUCUUAUUAUUAUUCUGUCAGUCAGGUAUCAAAAUAGUCUUUUGUAUGGGGUGAACUACUUACACCCGUAUUCACAAACGUUAGUUACUAUGAGGUCUCAUAGUGCGCUCGAACGCACAGUGUCCGUUCCACCAAUCAGAUGACUGUAUCACAUCAAUUUACAAUGAUCUGAUUGGUGGAAUCUACACUAUGCGUUCGAGCUUACUGUGAGACCUCAUAGUAACGUUUGUUAAUACGGCCGUUACAUAAGUAUAUGAUUAUAAAACUAUAAGGUUCACUUUAAUACGGGCAUUUGGAUUGCACAAUAAUUGUAGUUGUAGUAAGGAACGCUGAAAACGUGGAUUCGUUCUCAGGGUUUUCUUUUCAGACACAGACUUUUCCAUGUAGAUUCCGAACGAUAAAGAAAAUGCUUUCCGAGCUAGUGAGAUAAAAACUAUUUUUAAGUGGCGUUGCCAUCAGUUAUUAGAUAGACCGUGGGUAUAUAAAACCGCAAUUACGAUAAAUCAUAUCACAGUAUUAUAUUAUGUAGACCUAGGAUUUUUCUGAAAGGUAGUUUAUGUUACCUUACAAAGAUACCUUUAUGUCAAAUUAAAAGCAAUAAUCCUUAUAUAUUCUAACCAAAAAUAUAAAAAAACUUGCUUUGGGGGCGCCAAUAGUAUAAUAUAGUCUAUGGUCACUAAGUAUGUCUUGUAUAAAUUAGUUCCACG